AUGCGGCUAUCUUUUCGAUAUGAUAUAUGUAAAUAUAUAACAAUGAUUCCAACCUAUUUCAAAAUAACAUAUUUCUCAAUUUUUUCAACUAAUAUAUGA
rnacentral:rRNA from 1 species